rnacentral:rRNA from 1 species
AUUGAACGCUGGCGGCAUGCCUUACACAUGCCAGUCGAACGGUAACGGGCCUUCGGGCGCCGACGAGUGGCGAACGGGUGAGUAAUACAUCGGAACGUGCCCGAUCGUGGGGGAUAACGAGGCGAAAGCUUUGCUAAUACCGCAUACGAUCUACGGAUGAAAGCAGGGGACCGCAAGGCCUUGCGCGGACGGAGCGGCCGAUGGCAGAUUAGGUAGUUGGUGGGAUAAAAGCUUACCAAGCCGACGAUCUGUAGCUGGUCUGAGAGGAUGAUCAGCCACACUGGGACUGAGACACGGCCCAGACUCCUACGGGAGGCAGCAGUGGGGAAUUUUGGACAAUGGGCGCAAGCCUGAUCCAGCCAUGCCGCGUGCAGGAUGAAGGCCUUCGGGUUGUAAACUGCUUUUGUACGGAACGAAAAGCCUUCUUUUAAUACAGGAGGGUCAUGACGGUACCGUAAGAAUAAGCACCGGCUAACUACGUG